AAGCAUCGGUGAAGGGAAUGGCUUCGCCGGAAGCUGUUAAAAAGCUUCUUCUUUCACGUCGUGUUCCACAAUUCAUCCCUCUCACGCUGUGACAUUAAUAAAAAAAAAAACAAGAUUUACGUUUUUGUUGUAGAAACAAAAUCAUUUGGAGCUUGAAAUUAUGUCUUAUAUGAUAUUUUUACAUGUUUAAAUGUAUUAUAAGCAAGAAAAAAAAAAGGAUGAUUAAGGUGAGAAUAAUGGCUGGCGGCUAUAGAGGGAAAUUGCAGAAAACCCUAAUUGAUUUUGGAAAGAUGAAGUUAAAAUUACGAAAAUACCCUUCAUUAAAAAAAUAUGAAAAAUAAAUGAUUCAUAUGUACAUGAUAUAUUGUACAUACAUAUACACUAUCCACAUGUACAACGAUUCAUGUGUACAUGAAACUAGACAUCCCUUAAAUAAAAAUUACUAAAAUGCCAC
rnacentral:lncRNA from 1 species